ACUCACCAGGUCCAGACAAAAUAAGGAUUGACAGAUUGAGAGCUCUUUCUUGAUCUUUUGGAUGGUGGUGCAUGGCCGUUCUUAGUUGGUGGAGUGAUUUGUCUGCUUAAUUGCGAUAACGAACGAGACCUCGGCCCUUAAAUAGCCCGGUCCGCAUUUGCGGGCCGCUGGCUUCUUAGGGGGACUAUCGGCUCAAGCCGAUGGAAGUGCGCGGCAAUAACAGGUCUGUGAUGCCCUUAGAUGUCC
rnacentral:rRNA from 1 species